GCGGAGGCCAUCAGUGGAAGGAAGAAACAUUCCAAGAGGUGUUAGGAUGCAACGAUCUUCUUCCCAUGUGGGUUUGACAGCAAAUGGAUAUCAGUAUCCAUGGUCAAUCAAGCUCGACAGGUCCAGCAUGUCCCUCAAAGACAGUGAAUGUGGUUCAACAAGCACCGUGCUCACCAAUACCAACUAUUGCACAUCUUUGGUGGGAUUUGAGGUUCACAACAAUAAGUCCUGAUUCUUAUCUCAGCAAUCUCGACCACUGCCAUUUGGAAUAUGUAACACUGGUGAAGGUAGAAGGUAAACAAAAAGUUGAUGUCCAGCUUCUGAAGGAGAAGGAAAUGUGCAGACAUGUAGUGAUGCAGAAAUUGCUGAAUCCCAGGAAUGCUUUUUCCCUCUCUGCAUGUUAGCCAUGAUUUUAAGUAUUCUAAUACCUUGUUUUA